rnacentral:lncRNA from 1 species
UUCAGGAGUCUAGGCUUUCAAAAAAAUCCAGUACAGUGAGAAAGACAUGACAUGGCUGAGAUGGAGAGAAUAUGAGGUGGCCACAGCAGAAAAGUUGAGAACAAUUUGAAAGAGGAAAAUCUGUGGCCAAAUUCAAGGCACCCUAGGCUGUGAUCCUGGAACUGAACAUCUGAUGAGUCAAUACAGGGCACGGAGUAGGACUUUGAAGUCCUCCAUUGGAUCUUCUCGGAAGAUGAGGGAAAUGAGAGAGUGUGGAGAGAGAUUUUGUAAGUCCGGUCUGGAAGUGGUCAUUGUUCAGAAUCCAGCCACGUGGGUACAUGGAACUGUAAGGCUAUUUCAACAUGGGAAACUGAAAUCGGGCAUAUCCCUGCGGAAGAAGCUGUCUCUUAGCGAAGAAUAAAACUGUGGACUGACCCCCACCCAUUUGCGAAGAAAGUACUGGGUCUUCAGCUUUCAUUGUUCAGCCGGUGGUCUUUGUGGACAACACCAGGGGCCCCUCCUGCUGAAGACUGUCUGGACUUCCUGAUUUUCACUCCUGUAUAAACCCCCUCCCCCAUUACUACCUUUGUCUCCUUGGGGAAAAAAAAUGUUUUUCACUUAAGCAAAAUAAUAACUACCCAGUAUUUGUUUCUGGAGUGAAAUUGUAAACUUCAUUGUACAUUCUUCCUGGCUUUGAUGCUUAUCGUGAAGAGUUCAGUGAAAAUAAAUUGUUUUUAUGAAAGCAGAGAAACCAUUUGAUAAACACGCUGUCUCUGAAAAUCGUUCCUGCAAAAGAGGUCAUUCUUUCACUUUAAAAGAAAUAGAAUAUAUUUCAGAAAACAGGCAGGACAACAUACAAAUUUUUUUUUAAGGCAGAGUGUAAAUACAGUGAAAAUUGCACACCUCCUGAUUGUGUGGAGUGUUUUGG